GGAGAUCCUUUUUAGGUUUAAAAACUUUAGGUAAGUGGAGGGACCUUUAAAUAUUAUAGGUUCGAGUCCUAUGAUCUUCA
rnacentral:tRNA from 1 species